AUGCCAAGAGUCCACCAAUCGACCGAGCUGCCAUGGCCAUCUCCUCUGAUGAUCUCCGGGGCAAGGUAUUCAUGGGUCCCGACAAACGAAUUUGACCUUGCAUCAGUCGGCUCGACAACAAGCUGCGGAAGUGAUGGUUUCUUCAGGGGCUCAGCUCUCCGUGUCCUGGAAGGUGUAGAAGAUACCAGCCGAGGUGUGAAGCAAGAAGAGUUGGCCCAGGAUGGCUGGAUACACAGUGGAUCGAUGCAGCUUUCAGCACAAGGUCCGGAAGGCCUAGGAGGUUCAUCUCUUCCUACUGAUGAGCACCUCACAAGCAUGGGAUUAACUGAACACCUCAGGGACAGAUCAAAGUCGGAGAGCAUGAUGUGCCCAUCUUCACGAACAAGUAUGUUCUCAGGCUUCAGAUCGCGAUAUAUAACCCCCAACAUAUGCAGAUACUCCAAUGCUAGGAGAACUUCAGCGACUUAUUUACCUAGCAGCGGCUUCUGA
rnacentral:rRNA from 1 species